GUUUUCAGAGGCGUGGAGGGAGCCCGAGAAGAGCAGAUGUUGACACCACCAUCACUGCCUGCAGCAGUGAGACCAGGGGCACAGUUUUUGUUGAAAGGGUCGACCAGGAAGCACUUCCUUGACUCUGUCCUAAAGCCUCUGGAGAGCCCUUACAUUUGUGGUCCUUGAAGAUAUUGUAAAGGUGAGGACACAGCGAGGAGUAGGCUGUCUAUGAACCAGGAAGUGGGCCCUCACCAGACACAGAAUCUGCCAGCACCUCAAUUUGGAUUUCCCAGACUCCAGAACUGCAAGAAAUUAAUCUCUAUUGCUCACAAGCCACCCAAUCUAUGGUAUUCUGUUACAGCAGCUGGAGCAAACUGAGACAGUUCUUGACAGUGAUUUUCAUGAAGGUUCUCCCUUGCUCAUUUUUAAGCCCACUGGUUCAGACAGAAGCCUCUGGGAGAGCCCUCCAGGGUCCACCUUGAAGGCUUCAUUGCUUCUACCCAGAGCAUCUCCGUGGAGAGGAAGAAAAAGCAUCAACGAAAUGAGGUGCCUCAGCGGUUCUGGGGAGCAAUUCCUCUCUCCAUAUGACCAUUUGGGAAACCCCCAGUGAGAUGGAGUGUGCUUUUAAGCCAUGA
rnacentral:lncRNA from 1 species